AGGGUGUAAACGCUGCGGGCUUGGUGUUGGGGGUCCUUUGAGGGCGCCCAGUGCCGGAGAGAAGUUGUUAAGCCUGCUGCUUGGGGAGUACGUCCGCAAGGAUGAAACUUAAAGGAAUUAGCAGGGGAGCACCGCAACGGGAGGAGCGUGCGGUUCAAUUGGAUUCAACGCCGGACAACUCACCAGGAGCGACGGUUACAUGAAGGCCAGGCUGAUGACCUUGCCUGAUUUUCCGAGAGGUGGUGCAUGGCUAGUCGUGU
rnacentral:rRNA from 1 species